rnacentral:rRNA from 1 species
AACUUUCAACAAAGGAUCUCUUGGCUCUUGCCUCGAUGAAGAACGCAGCGAAGCGCGAAAUGUAGUGUGAAUCGCAGAACAUUGUGAAUCAUCGAAUCUUUGAACGCACAUUGCGCCUCUCUUAACAGGGAGGCAUGCCUGUCUGAGUCUCAUUU